CCAUCCUCCCGUCACUCCCUUCCUCUUUCUCCUGCCCACCAUGGCCAUGCCGUCCCUACCCUCCGUGGUCGGGUCACCAUCGCCGGACGGGCCGCGCCACCCAUGCCCGCCAUCGCGUUGCCGACUAUCGGGCACUGCCUGCUCACCGCCGGCCAUGUGCCAGUCCUGCCGUCUUCCGCUUAAAGUCAAAAUCCAACGAAUGGAUCCGUGCGCCAGAGAGCAAAGUGGUGGUACGGCGGGCGAGCUGCUCUUCUGAUUCUGUUCUUGUGCGAGAGGAGGAGCAGGAUGAGAGGGAUGGCCCCAGCAGGUGUCUAGCCGGCGGCGUGGCUCCGGAUGCUGGCUGGGAGGUGCACGAGGAAGCGAAAGAGGAGGGAAGAAAAGAGAAGAGAUUGACAUGUGGGUCCAUUUAUAAUGGGUAAAAUAGACAAUUCAUAGCAAGUUCUCGUAUUUCUGGAGCGGGAGCCCUGCAAUCAGCCAAACACGUACACUAACUUCACGUUUUCUUAAAGUUGGUGGGGUGGAGCUGCAAAAGGAUGGAGAACCACACCGUCGGCGCCGCGGACCAUGUUUCACCAGCCAGACGACGUCCUCUGACAUGUCCCAUGGUAUUUUCAUUUUGCGGAAGGUUUGUCAUUUUAGUGAAAUCUCACUAGAAAAAAAAACAACACACUUGCGUGCGUUGCUUCACUCAGUUUGUGAAGAAACUAGCCGGCCAAACACGUGCACGGCUCCCUGGUCCGGUGAGCGCACGUCGCGGCUGUUGGCCCCCCUCCAUGGCAGCUGUCAUUCCGGGGAUCGGGACGGACCGCUGCUGCGGUGGUUUGGGAGGUGCUCCGCCUUCGGCGAGGUGGUUAAUUUAGCUGUUGUUGUUUCUAGUGGUGUUGUUUUGGUAUUAUUGUUGCUCAACUUUUGGAGUCUUGAUUUGAUUUUAUCAUCAAUUUGUUUUUCUUCUUCUUUUUAAUACAAAAUAUGCAGCUCUGU